ACAAUCUGUAAAAUACUAUAUAUUAAUACGUGAACCAAAAACUUUCUACCCCUUUUUACGAAAAUUACGCUAACAGAGGUGUACGAAAUUUUCCACACUUAUAGAGAAUACAGAGACGGAGUGCAGAAUGCAAUAUUUUUUUUUAUUAGGCAUUAAUGUACAUUAAAUCAAUAAAAAAACAUUACACACACUACCAUCUAUUUGACACACAAAUAUACAAGCUUUUGUUAAUGCUUAAAGUCAAAUUGAGAAUAGGUUAUCUUAUCUUAUUAUACCUUUAAACUUCGAUCAAUAAUACUACUAGAUUCGCGAUUAGCGCUUCAAAAGCGGCCCGAAAAAUAAGACCACAAAUAAAUUUGUGGUCUUAUUUCAAAUUAGUAUGGUCCAAUCAUAGCCAACACUAAGACGUCAAAACGCUGCAAUGCGCGUUCAAAAACUGAGUAAAAAACCACCGUAACACCAACGUUUUGGAAGGAAUAUCUUUUUUUGAUUUCCUAGUAGCCCCUUGUCGCUGUGCACAAUGGAUAUAUAUUGUCGCGAAAGAAAGAGGAGAAAAAAUAUAGAACUCUUAUAAAAAUUCUAGAAUUGUUCAAUGGUGGUGGCAAAUCAAUGCAAAAAAGUAUUAAAAAAACUUUAUAUGUAUGUGUAAAUAUUUUAAGCGUAUAUGCUGAAAAGGAUUUGUUUUCUGGGGGAAACGAACACAGCCAUAAAAUAAGCCUAAAUUAAACUGAUUAUAGAAAAAAUCAUUGAUAUAAGAGUACAUUAUAUUUGUAAAAAAGAAACCGCUCAUAUAAAAAUGACUUCUAAAAGACAGCUUUAUAACAAACUGAAUCUGUUUAAAGGUAAUUAAACCUACAUUAUUGUUUUAAUUACUUCUGUAUAAAGAAUACGUGGAAAACAUGUUUCGUGUUUCCUUUCAUAUUUUUUUUACUUUAUUCAAUUUUAUUUUUUAUCACCUAUUUGUUGUAAUAGCGGCAAUGUAAAAUAUUAUCUACUACUUUUUUGAAUCGGUCAAAAAUAGUUGCGACCAUACAAAACAAACCUAAAACAAAUAUGUAUAUUCUGCAACUCUAUGUCUUUCAAUACUUACUGUGUUCUGAGCAUUGAAAUGUAAUACCAAGAACUACAUCUAGUUCCACAAUACAAUAAGCACGAAAUUUUAAACAAAUAUUUUUAACCUUAUAAAUUAGGCUUUAAGUAUCAUUUUAGAAUAAAUAUUUUUGUACUGAUGACUUUUUAUGUUCAA